rnacentral:rRNA from 1 species
AUUGAACGCUGGCGGCAGGCCUAACACAUGCAAGUCGAACGGUAGCACAGAGAGCUUGCUCUCGGGUGACGAGUGGCGGACGGGUGAGUAACGUCUGGGAAACUGCCCGAUGGAGGGGGAUAACUACUGGAAACGGUAGCUAAUACCGCAUAACGUCGCAAGACCAAAGUGGGGGACCUUCGGGCCUCACACCAUCGGAUGUGCCCAGAUGGGAUUAGCUAGUAGGUGGGGUAAUGGCUCACCUAGGCGACGAGCCCUAGCUGGUCUGAGAGGAUUAACAGCCACACUGGAAAUGAGCCACGGUCCAGAUUCCUACGGGAGGCAGCAGUGGGGAAUAUUGCACAAUGGGUGCAAGCCUGAUGCAGCCAUGCCGCGUGUAUGAAGAAGGCCUUCGGGUUGUAAAGUACUUUCAGCGGGGAGGAAGGCGGUGAAGUUAAUAACUUCACCGAUUGACGUUACCCGCAGAAGAAGCACCGGCUAACUCCGUGCCAGCAGCCGCGGUAA